rnacentral:rRNA from 1 species
UACGUAGGGUGCGAGCGUUAAUCGGAAUUACUGGGCGUAAAGCGUGCGCAGGCGGUUCGUUGUGUCGGCGGUGAAAGCCCCGGGCUCAACCUGGGAAUGGCCGUUGAAACUGGCGAACUGGAGUGUGGCAGAGGGGGGUGGAAUUCCGCGUGUAGCAGUGAAAUGCGUAGAGAUGCGGAGGAACACCGAUGGCGAAGGCAGCCCCUCGGGCGUGACACUGACGCUCAGGCACGAAAGCGUGGGGAGCAAACAGG